rnacentral:rRNA from 1 species
UACAGAGGUCUCAAGCGUUGUUCGGAUUCAUUGGGCGUAAAGGGUGUGUAGGUGGCGCCGUAAGUCGGGUGUGAAAUUUCGGAGCUUAACUCCGAAACUGCAUUCGAUACUGCGGUGCUUGAGGACUGGAGAGGAGACUGGAAUUCAUGGUGUAGCAGUGAAAUGCGUAGAUAUCGUGAGGAAGACCAGUGGCGAAGGCGGGUCUCUGGACAGUUCCUGACGCUGAGGCGCGAAGGCCAGGGGAGCAAACGGG